rnacentral:rRNA from 1 species
AUUGAACGCUGGCGGCAUGCCUUACACAUGCAAGUCGAACGGUAGCGGGCCUUCGGGUGCCGACGAGUGGCGAACGGGUGAGUAAUGUAUCGGAACGUACCUUUCAGUGGGGGAUAACGUAGCGAAAGUUGCGCUAAUACCGCAUAUUCUGUGAGCAGGAAAGCAGGGGAUCGCAAGACCUUGCGCUGAUUGAGCGGCCGAUAUCAGAUUAGCUAGUUGGUGAGGUAAAGGCUCACCAAGGCGACGAUCUGUAGCGGGUCUGAGAGGAUGAUCCGCCACACUGGAACUGAGACACGGUCCAGACUCCUACGGGAGGCAGCAGUGGGGAAUUUUGGACAAUGGGGGCAACCCUGAUCCAGCCAUGCCGCGUGAGUGAAGAAGGCCUUCGGGUUGUAAAGCUCUUUCGGCCGGGAAGAAAUCGUAUCAGCUAAUACCUGGUGCGGAUGACGGUACCGGCAUAAGAAGCACCGGCCAACUACGUGCCAGCCGCCGCAGUAACAC